rnacentral:rRNA from 1 species
UACGUAGGGGGCAAGCGUUGUCCGGAAUUAUUGGGCGUAAAGAGCUUGUAGGCGGUUUGUCGCGUCUGCUGUGAAAACCCGAGGCUCAACCUCGGGCCUGCAGUGGGUACGGGCAGACUAGAGUGCGGUAGGGGAGAUUGGAAUUCCUGGUGUAGCGGUGGAAUGCGCAGAUAUCAGGAGGAACACCAAUGGCGAAGGCAGAUCUCUGGGCCGUAACUGACGCUGAGGAGCGAAAGCAUGGGGAGCGAACAGG